GACUCUUAGCGGUGAAUCACUGGGGUCCCGCAUGGAUGAAGAAUUCAGCUAGCUUUGAGAAUUAAUGUGAAUUUCAGGACACAUUGAUCGUUGACACUUCCAAUGCACUUGUGGCCCCAGGUUCCUCCCGGGGUACACCUGUCUGAGCGUCA
ensembl:rRNA 5_8S_rRNA 5.8S ribosomal RNA